rnacentral:rRNA from 1 species
GGACGAACGCUGGCGGCGUGCCUAAUACAUGCAAGUCGAGCGAAGUUUUUCUGGUGCUUGCACUAGAAAAACUUAGCGGCGAACGGGUGAGUAACACGUAAAGAACCUGCCUCAUAGACUGGGACAACUAUUGGAAACGAUAGCUAAUACCGGAUAACAGUAUUUCUCGCAUGAGAGAUAUUUAAAAGUUGGUUAUGCUAACACUAUGAGAUGGCUUUGCGGUGCAUUAGCUAGUUGGUGGGGUAAAGGCCCACCAAGGCGACGAUGCAUAGCCGACCUGAGAGGGUGAUCGGCCACACUGGGACUGAGACACGGCCCAGACUCCUAAGGGAGGCAGCAGUAGGGAAUCUUCCGCAAUGGGCGAAAGCCUGACGGAGCAACGCCGCGUGAGUGAAGAAGGAUUUCGGUUCGUAAAGCUCUGUUGUUAGGGAAGAAUGGAUAUGUAGUAACUAUACAUGUAAGAGACGGUACCUAACCAGAAAGCCACGGCUAACUACGUG